UUCCGGUGGUAGCACAAUUGUUGCACUCGUAUUGUCAUUCAAAUCUAAUAGAAUUUUGACCAACUCAUUCUCAUCUUCGACUAUCAUAUUAGGGAGGAUAACACAAGCUUGCAUGAUGUUAACAACAUCACCUCAUUUCCAUAACCGUGCCAGACGUUUAACAAUAUCAAAACGAGAUUGCAAGACACCAAAUGCGCACUCGACAUCCUUCCUUGCCCCUUAUUGAUG
rnacentral:lncRNA from 1 species